rnacentral:rRNA from 1 species
AUACGGAGGAUGCAAGCGUUAUCCGGAUUUAUUGGGUUUAAAGGGUGCGUAGGCGGAUGAUUAAGCGUGAGGUGAAAUGCCACUGCUCAACAGUGGAACUGCCUCGCGAACUGGUUGUCUUGAAUGCUCCUGCCGUGGGAGGAAUGUGUGGUGUAGCGGGGAAAUGCAUAGAGAUCACACAGAACACCGAUUGCGAAGGCAUCUCACGAAGGGGUGAUUGACGCUGAGGCACGAAAGCGUGGGGAUCAAACAGGGUUAGAUACCCUGGUAGUCCACGCAGUAAACGAUGAUAACUAACCGCUGGGUCGUAGUGAUUCAGUGGCCAAGCGAAAGCGAUAAGUUAUCCACCUGGGGAGUACGACCGCAAGGUUGAAACUCAAAGGAAUUGACGGGG